GACGUAGGGCGCGAGCGUUGUCCGGAUUUAUUGGGCGUAAAGAGCUCGUAGGCGGCUUGUUGCGUCAGCUGUGAAAACCCGCAGCUCAACUGUGGGCUUGCAGCUGAUACGGGCAGGCUUGAGUUCGGUGAGGGGAGACUGGAAUUCCUGGAUGUAGCGGUGAAAUGACGCAGAUAUCAGGAAGAACACCCGUGGCGAAGGCGGCUCUCUGGGACGGUACUGACGCUGAGACGCGAAAGCGUGGGAGCGAACAGG
rnacentral:rRNA from 1 species